AACAAACGCUGGCGGCGUGCCUAAUACAUGCAAGUCGAACGGGGAAAGCUUUCGGGUGAGUACUAGUGGCGCACGGGUGAGUAACGCGUGGAUAAUCUGCCCUCGAAUGGGGAAUAACUAGUCGAAAGAUUAGCUAAUACCGCAUAAGACCACGACUACUGAGGUAGUUGGGGUCAAAGGAGCAAUUCGUUUGAGGAUGAGUCCGCGUAAGAUUAGUUAGUUGGUGAGGUAAUGGCUCACCAAGGCGAUGAUCUUUAACUGGUCUGAGAGGAUGAUCAGUCACACUGGAACUGAGACACGGUCCAGACUCCUACGGGAGGCAGCAGUAGGGAAUAUUGGACAAUGGGGGCAACCCUGAUCCAGCGGCGCCGCGUGAGCGAUGAAGGCCUUCGGGUCGUAAAGCUCUGUUGUAAGGGAAAAAGUUCUGAUUGUACCUUACGAGAAAGGAUCGGCUAACUUCGUGCCAGCCGCCGCGGUAA
rnacentral:rRNA from 1 species